UACAGAGGUCUCAAGCGUUGUUCGGAUUCAUUGGGCGAAAAGGGUGCGUAGGCGGCGCGGUAAGUCGGGUGUGAAAUCUCGGAGCUUAACUCCGAAACUGCAUUCGAUACUGCCGUGCUUGAGGACUGGAGAGGAGACUGGAAUUUACGGUGUAGCGGUGAAAUGCGUAGAUAUCGUAAGGAAGACCAGUGGCGAAGGCGGGUCUCUGGACAGUUCCUGACGCUGAGGCACGAAGGUCAGGGGAGCAAACGGG
rnacentral:rRNA from 1 species